rnacentral:rRNA from 1 species
AACGAACGCUGGCGGCAGGCUUAACACAUGCAAGUCGAACGCCCCGCAAGGGGAGUGGCAGACGGGUGAGUAACGCGUGGGAACAUACCCUUUCCUGCGGAAUAGCUCUGGGAAACUGGAAUUAAUACCGCAUACGCCCUACGGGGGAAAGAUUUAUCGGGGAAGGAUUGGCCCGCGUUGGAUUAGCGAGUUGGUGGGGUAAAGGCCUACCAAGGCGACGAUCCAUAGCUGGUCUGAGAGGAUGAUCAGCCACAUUGGGACUGAGACACGGCCCAAACUCCGACGGGAGGCAGCAGUGGGGAAUAUUGGACAAUGGGCGCAAGCCUGAUCCAGCCAUGCCGCGUGAGUGAUGAAGGCCUUAGGGUUGUAAAGCUCUUUCACCGAUGAAGAUAAUGACGGUAGUCGGAGAAGAAGCCCCGGCUAACUUCGUGCCAGCCGCCUCCGUAAUAC